AUUGAACGCUGGCGGCAGGCUUAACACAUGCAAGUCGAACGAUGAAGUCUAGCUUGCUAGACGGAUUAGUGGCGAACGGGUGAGUAAUGCUUAGGAAUCUGCCUAUUAGUGGGGGAUAACGUAGGGAAACUUACGCUAAUACCGCAUACGACCUACGGGUGAAAGGGGGCGUUUAGCUCUCGCUAAUAGAUGAGCCUAAGUCGGAUUAGCUAGUUGGUGGGGUAAAGGCCUACCAAGGCGACGAUCUGUAGCUGGUCUGAGAGGAUGAUCAGCCACACUGGGACUGAGACACGGCCCAGACUCCUACGGGAGGCAGCAGUGGGGAAUAUUGGACAAUGGGCGAAAGCCUGAUCCAGCCAUGCCGCGUGUGUGAAGAAGGCCUUUUGGUUGUAAAGCACUUUAAGUGGGGAGGAAAAGCUUAUGGUUAAUACCCAUAAGCCCUGACGUUACCCACAGAAUAAGCACCGGCUAACUCUGUGCCAGCAGCCGCGGUAAUACAGAGGGUGCAAGCGUUAAUCGGAAUUACUGGGCGUAAAGCGCGCGUAGGUGGUUAUUUAAGUCAGAUGUGAAAGCCCCGGGCUUAACCUGGGAACUGCAUCUGAUACUGGAUAACUAGAGUAGGUGAGAGGGGAGUAGAAUUCCAGGUGUAGCGGUGAAAUGCGUAGAGAUCUGGAGGAACACCGAUGGCGAAGGCAGCUCCCUGGCAUCAUACUGACACUGAGGUGCGAAAGCGUGGGUAGCAAACAGG
rnacentral:rRNA from 1 species